AGAUAGAGGCGCGCCGCAUCAUGAGUAACCGCGGGUCUUCGACCGACGAGGGUUUUGCCGCGGGAAAGGGAUGGGCGCCGAAGUGUCCGGUGACUCGUUUUCCCGGAUGGCUGGGGCUGCGGAGAAUAUCCGCAGGACUGUCGCGUUUCGCGGAGUGCUAUCGGU
rnacentral:ncRNA from 1 species